rnacentral:rRNA from 1 species
AUGGCGGCCAUACUUGAAACUUUGCUUAAAUCAAGUGUCAAUAAGUUGCAAGAUGUCAUCAUGGAUGAGGCUAUACUAAUCCUAGGGGUGGAAGAAGAGCUCACAAAACUGCUGCGGCGAGUGGAACUAAUUCAGUGUUGUAUAUAUGAUGCUGAGGAAAGGAGAACAAAAGAGCAAGCAAUAAACAAUUGGCUUGGUCAACUGAGAGAUGUUAUAUAUGAUGUUGAUGAAAUCUUGGAUGUGGCUAGAUGUAAAGGAAGCAAGCUACUUGCUGAACACCCUUCACCAUCAUCACGCAAAUCAGUUGCAUGUAAAGGCCUUUCAGUUUCCUCUUGUUUUUGCAACAUAGUGCCACGCCGUGAUGUUGCUGUUCGAAUUAGAAGCCUGCACAAAAAGAUUGAGAACAUUGCAAAUGACAAGAUAUUUUCGACUUUCAAUAGUAGUACACGACCUACUCGAAAUGGUCCAACAUCCAAACUGAUAAGAAGUUCCAAUCUUGUUGAGCCCAACCUUGUGGGGAAGGAGAUCAUACAUUCUAGCAGGAAGUUGGUGGACUUAGUGCUUGCACACAAGGAAUACAAGUCUUACAAGCUCGGUAUCGUUGGAACUGGAGGAGUUGGUAAGACAACACUAGCUCAAAAAAUAAAAGGAAGCUUCAAGAUACAUGCAUGGAUUUCUGUUUCACAAGACUACAAUGAAGUAACUCUUCUUAAGGAGGUUCUCCGGAAUAUUGGUGUGCAUCAUGAGCAAGGUGAAACCAUAGCAGAGCUCCAGAGGAAGCUUGCAGAAACAAUUGAAGGGAAGAGUCUCUUUCUGGUUCUAGAUGAUGUGUGGCAUUUCAAUGUAUGGACGGAUUUACUGAGACCUGCAUUUCACGAAACAAGUGUCGGAAUAAUAUUGGUAACCACACGAGAUUAUCAAAUUACAAAGAGAAUAGGUGUAGACCAUACCCAUCAAGUUGAUCUCAUGGCAGUAGAAGUGGGAUGGGAGCUACUUUGGAAGAGCAUGAACAUCGAGGAAGAAAAGGAAAUGCAGAAUUUAAGAAAAACAGGGAUUGAGAUUGUUCAUAAAUGUGGCCGCCUUCCUCUUGCAAUCAAGGUUACCGCUAGUGCUUUGUCAAGCAGAGAACUAACAGAAAAUGAAUGGAAAAGGUAUUUGAGCAGAUUUAUUGGCUCUCAGAGCAUCCUCUUGGAUGAAACAGAAGAAGCUUUGUAUCUAAGCUAUGAUGAGUUACCACAUCGUUUGAAGCAGUGUUUCCUUUAUUGUGCUUUGUAUGUUGAAGAUUCAGUCAUUGAACGUGAUGAAGUUACCUGGUUAUGGAUUGUUGAAGGCUUCAUCGAGGAGCAGCAUGGCCAACUACUAGAAGACAUAGCAGCUGAGUACUACCACCAGCUAAUACAUCGAAAUCUCCUCCAGCCAGAUAUUAUGAGUUUUGACCAGGCUAAAUGCAAAAUGCAUGACCUCUUAAGACAGCUUGCUUGUAAUAUAUCAAGAGAAGAAUGUUUUGUUGGAGAUGUUGAAUCAUUAAGGGGUGAGAAUAUGUCAAAACUGCGACGUGUUACUGCUGUUAUUAAGAAGGAUAUGUUGGUGUUACCUAGAGUGGAUAAGGUGGAUGUUAAGGUGAGGACUUUCCUAACUAUUGAGGGUGCAACGAGAAUUGAGGAUACAUUGUUCAAGAAAUUCCUGCUUCUUCGUGUUUUGGUACUGAAUUAUUCACGUGUGCAAAGCAUCCCAGACUAUAUAGGAAAAUUGAUACAUCUACGCCUACUUAAUCUAGAUUAUACUGGCAUAUCUUGCCUUCCGGAAUCCAUUGGCUCCCUGAAGAACCUUCAAGUACUGAGCUUGAGAUGGUGUGAUGAUCUGCACAGUCUUCCUUUGUCAAUGACCCUGUUGUGCAGUUUAAGAUGUCUUAAUCUUUUAGGCACAAAAAUAAAUCAGGUUCCCAAAGGGAUAGGGAAACUGAAGUUCCUCACUUGUUUAGAAGAUUAUCCUGUUGGUGAUCGAAGUGAUAAUGCUCUUGUACAAGAUGGAUGGAAGUUGGAAGAGUUGUGUUCUUUGUCGCGAAUGAGAUUUCUUGCUCUUGUUAAAUUGGAAAGAUCGGUUGACUGUAGUAUAAAUGCAGUGCUGACGGACAAAAAGCAUCUAAAAACUCUAAUACUAGAGUGGACUGAAAGUGGAGAGGGGUCAUAUUCUGAAGAAAAUGUUAGCAAUGUUGAGAAGGUCUUUGAGAAGCUAAUACCUCCAAGCAACUUGGAAGACCUAUGUAUUUUACAAUUCUUUGGUCAGCGGUAUCCCACUUGGUUUGGUACCACCUAUUUGUCUUCAUUAAUGUCCUUGAUCCUCAAAGAUGUACGAUCAUGUGUGCAUCUUCCACCGGUCUGGCAGCUACCAAACUUGAAAUAUCUGAGAAUUGAAGGAGCACAUGCUGUUACCAAGGUUGGACCUAAAUUUGUUGGCUGCAAGAAGGGUGAUCCUGUAUGUAAUGGGUUUGUUGCUUUCCCUAAACUUGAAUUGUUGAUCUUCUUAGAUAUGCCCAACUGGGAGGUGUGGUCUUUUUUUGAGGAAGAAGCCGCUGCUCCUGAUGUAAGGGGAGAGGAUGAAGCUGUUGAGAUUCAAAAGGAGGAUGCCCAAUCUGCAAGGUUGCAACUGCUGCCUUAUUUGGUGAAGUUGCAACUCAUAGGUUGCCCGCAGCUGAGGGCUCUGCCGCCCCAGCUUGAAGAGGACACCGUCAGCUUGAAGAAGAUCCUUUUAAUUGGAAUAAACAACUUGAAGGCCGUGGAGGACUUUCCACAGCUUUCUGAGCUCCUUGCUAUAAAGGAUUGUGAAGGCCUGGAGAGGAUCUGCAACCUCGCUCAAGUGUCAGAAUUGCAAGUAGGUGGUUGUCCAAACUUAAGCCAUGUAGAGGGGUUGGCCAAUCUGCAGGAGCUGGGGCUGGGCGAGGAUAUGCAAGAGAUUUCUUCCCACUGUGUGCCUGGGCUUCAAGAACAGCACCAACGAAUUCAUGGUGAAGACUUAGAUGUCUACACAGUUGUCUAG